UGUAGGCGGUUGCUUAAGUUUGGUGUGAAAUCUCCCGGCUCAACUGGGAGGGUGCGCCGAAUACUGAGUGACUCGAGUGCGGGAGAGGAGAGUGGAAUUCCUGGUGUAGCGGUGAAAUGCGUAGAUAUCAGGAGGAACACCGGUGGUGUAGACGGCUCUCUGGACCGUAACUGACGCUGAGACACGAAAGCGUGGGUAGCAAACAGGAUUAGAUACCCUGGUAGUCCACGCCCUAAACGAUGCAUAUUUGGUGUGGGCACGUUCAGUCUGUCCGUGCCGGAGCUAACGCGUUAAAUAUGCCGCCUGGGGAGUACAGUCGCAAGGCUGAA
rnacentral:rRNA from 1 species